UAAUAGGCACAUAUCUGGACACUUGCUUUAUUUAAAAUUUUAUUAUUUAAAAACUUUAAAUUUUGUUGUUCGAUGAGAUUUUCAUUUUCACGAUUCCGAAAUUAACGCUCGGGCUCGGAGUUUUGUGUUCCGUAUCCAGUCACAUUGAGCGGAAAAUGGCGAAUUUAUCUUACGGGAAGCGCAUGAAAUCUCAAGUUUAUAGCUAGCACAGCAAGCGUUUAUGGUAACGCGAGAAAAUUCGGGAUGAGUUAAAAGCUGGACUUGAAAGUCAAGGCAUUUUGCAAAAGAAAGUAAAACGCCUGAAGCCUGAGGAAGAUGCCAAAUGGUGGUGUCAGGCUGGUCUUGACAAAGAUGGGUUCAAAGUAAAAUAUAUAUCUGACUAUAAAGGAUUUGGUGUAUUUGCCGAAAAAGACUUCAGAGCAGGGGAUUUUCUUCUAGAAUAUGUUGGAGAAAUAAUUACUGAAGAAGAGGCAUUUGAAAGGCAGAGAAAAUGUGAUGAAAAUAAUUUUUUUUUUUACAAGAACAAAGGAAAAAGUAUGUGUGGAACAUACAUGUAAUGGAAACACAGAAAAUGAUGAAAAUGGACAGGGUGACUAUGAGGGAAGCAGUAGCUGCAGCAACCAAAGGAACAAGUCAGGUAAAGCUGUUAAUCAAUUAUGUCUCCCCCAGCAAAAGGAGUACAACAAUAUACCAUGGUGUUAUAAAUUGUGAUACAGAAGUUUCGGUUUGAUUCAUGAUACAUGUAUGUUAAUCCACCCAAAUGAUAUGGCUCCAUUUCAUUUUUAACUCACUAUAGCUGAAAGCUCAUGUGAGGUUUUUUGAUUAGUUUGUCUGUCAUCCGUCAGUCUGUAAACUUUCCACAUUUUCAAUUUCUUCUCCAGGCCAAUUUCAACCAAACUUGGCAAAACGUAUCAUUGCGCGAUGGGGAUUCAAGUGUGUUCAAAUGGUGCCCCUAGUCACAGGGUUCUGUGCUUAUGGGCCCAAAUGGUUAAAAAGGUACCAUUCUUAAAAAAUCAUCUUGUCAUAAAGCACUGGAGAGAAUGAUUUGAUAUUAUGCACGGGGCAUAUAAGCGACCAUGAGAUUCAAGUAUAUUGUUACUGGUUCUAUCCUCCACCAAUAAAAACUGGACACCAUUGUAUGAUGGAAAAUUGUUGAGUGUGUCAAAAAAAAAAAAAAUCAGGGAAUGAAAAAAGGUGUCAUCAAUGUAGUUAAGACAGUAAAAGAUGUCUCUUGCAGAUGUGAAUAUGGCAUUUUUCCAUAAAAUAAAGCAUCCCACAUGACUAUGCUAUCUUCACUUGAGGGCACAAAAAGCAACAUGAUCAUCCUUGCACUCCCAAACUUGGAUUUUAACAUUUUUUUGCAUGAGAAGCAAAAAAAAUUAACAGUAAAGAAUUUAAGAAUAUGUGAGGUAACCAUAAAUGCAUCAACAACUAGUGCAGAUGUUGCAAAUUGAAUUAAUUUUGGUAGAUUUGGCCGUUGUGGUACUUAGGUUUAAGUAUAUCGGGGCACCUAUUAAUACUAGCUAGUGGGUUCAAACUUUUUUUUUUGGUAGGGCACUGGCUUUUAAAUCUGAAGGUUGUAUUUGAGACUUAGUGAUACUUCCUAACAAUUACACUUCAUUUCUUUCACAGUAAAGUGGUAAUUGGAGGACGCACAGCUUUUGCAGGAGCAAUUUUAGGAUUUAGCAUAAAUUCAUUCAUGCUUCGCUCAAAUUUUUGCUAGGAAGAAGUUUUGCUUUUGUAGCAUGAUACAAAAAUGAUGAUCAAAUAGAUUUUGAGUGUAUUUUACAACUAAUUUAAUCUCCUUAUGAUGUUGAAUGUUUGGCCGGGUUGCAGAACCUGCAUUCAGCUUUGAAGUAUGGUGAAUGCCAGGGGAUCAGCUGGCUGAGCGGACCACUUGUGCAUGCAAUGUACUUUGUGUAAUCAAAUCAUCUCACACCUCUAACUUGACAUCCUUCAAACUUUGUACAAUUGUAUGGAGACAUUAAAGAUGUAUUUUUGACUUUUUGGAAGCGCUCUGACAUUUUUCCAAAAUUUACAUUUAGUUGAACUUUGUCACUUUCACAACUUGUUUUAAAAUAGACAGUACCUACUUUGUAAAAUUGACUCCUCUCAUAGCGUUUACUUUACAUUGUUCAGACCUUGCUUGUACAGUUGUAAUGAACACAUUGAAGAUAUGUAUGUGAUUUUUAGGAAGUGUUCAGACAUUUUUUGGAAAAGUUUACAUGUAGUUGAACUUUGUAUUUUUCUCAGUAUGUUAUUAACUCCUCUCACAGCUUUUAUUUGAUAUUCUUCAGACCAUGUACAGUUGUAACGGACACGAAGAAAAUCUGCAUGUGGCACUUUAGAAGUGUGCUACAUGUUCAUAUCUUUGUAAUUUUCCCAGCAUGAUAUCUACGCAGUUGUGUUAAGUAGGGCCAUAGAAAUAUAUCAGGAAAAAAGCAUUAAUAAACAGAUCAAUUUGUGACAAAUUCUGUAAACACAACCCAUUUAUACAAAAACAAUAUGUAUAUAUCAUUAAGUGCAUAUUGACCUCUUAUACAUUUUUCACCAGACCGACAGUCUCAACAUCAACUCUCUAUCACGUGAUCAAAUAUCAAGAUAAAAACGUAUCGUGUAUGUAUAAAUCGUAAAAUUGGCACGAUAUCCAGAUAUCAAUGCAAGUUGAAGUUAAUAUAACUUCAAAGCAUAUUAAUUUCUUAAUUUGAAAAGUGCUGAGAGCAAGUUUACUGUGACUUGCAACAUGUCUAAUUUUUGCAUUGAAUAUGCAAGAUGUAGCGAUUUUUGCACAUACGAAGUUGAAUCUAGCCUGAAAAACAUAUUUUCUGUUGAAGCCAGAACUUGCUCCCCUAACUUUCCUUUGGCACUGAAGUUCACAUGUCACAUAAAUGAAACAUCUUUCACUUAAAAACCUCGGGGUGUCGUGCCAAUGAUGAAAUUUUUAUGUACGGAAACCCUGUUUAUGCAAAUGAGUCCAUUGUGAAAGUAACUAUACGUGUAGAUUAGGGGCGAUAUCAAUAUCACAAUAUAAUAUGGAUAUUACUUUAGCAUGUAUGCUAUAUAAAGAAGAAAUUGAAACUUUUUCAAUAUCAAAGAGAAUUAAUAUAACCCAUUUGACAGAAACUUUUACGCAAUUGCAGUUUACCGUUUGACAGCGGUGGUAAAUAACGAAACAAUAUUUUGACAUUUCCAACCACAAAUGGACUGUAGAUAUGUACGUCAUGACCUUCGUCAUGACGUAAUUUUCAUUGUGACGUCGUGCAAUGUGCCAGUGUGGUAAAGUAUAUUUAUGUACAGCACCGGUAUUAAAAAUUUUAUGGGGAAAGCCUUAACUCAACCGCGUAAAGGCAUGGCCUAAAAUAUUUCAUUUUAUGUCAGUGAAUAAUGUAUUAAAUCAACCAUGCCAUUUUGGCCAAUUUUAGUAUUUCUUGAAACCAACCCUAACCUUAACGUCUAUACCUGUAGUCUGUAAUGCAUAUUUAAAUAUAUUUCAGGUUCUGUUCAGGAGUCCCUAAAUGGUAUUCAAUGUUCUGCAAUGCUUCCAGAGGAAACUUGUUAUGUUAAUGAAGAAGAUACUAACAGUGAUGAUGAACAGGUGGAAUCAGUUCAAAAGAAUGUUCCUAGGACAUCUAGAACAUGCUCAG